UGGGCCCCGGAAGCGCUAGAGAAAAAGAUCUCUCAAACCAAUGCAAAGAUUGAGAAAAUGGAACGUGAUAUGAAGACAAAAGAAGAUCUGAAAACUGUGGCAUUGGGCACGUCCAAGAUAAACUAUCUUGACCCUAGGAUUACAGUUGCCUGGUGCAAAUAGAAUGAGGUUCCCAUUGAAAAGGUUAUUGUAGGAGAGAUCAAGCACUCUCAAGCUGCUCAUGUCACCAACUUGUGGAGGGACUUUUCCAGUGAGUUGAUUGUGGGAAAGAUCAAGUGCUUCUAAUUUCAACAGAUUCCCAAGAAAAGUUGGGAUUUCACUUGAGAGAUUGUUGUAUCUGAGGUCUAAAUUGAUCUGGAGAUUUUGGAGUUUUUCAAUUUCUGUUUUAGUAUGGAAAAUAACACAGCUUUUAGUAUAGUUGAUAGUUUUAAUAUGGUUGAAUAAUACAUUGAGGAUUAUAGUUGAUGUAUCAAUACAUUUUGUUUGUAUUUUGAAUUAUAUUGACUUGUUUGUUUAUUAUA